AGCAUGCUGAAAAAGUGACAGUUGGGGCAGUGUGGCCGGAGAGAGAGAAAAGAGAAGAAAUGGAGAAUAAAAAUUGUUUUAACAAAGUGCUUGUGUUGUAGACACAAAUUGUGAAGCUGGAGUGUGGUCUUCUUCCUGUCACAUGCCUUUUUUUAUUCUCCAGUGUCCUGACUGUGAUCCUGUUUGAGCACCUGAGGGACAACAAUCACUGUCUGAUACACCUUUUCAACUAUUUCUGUCUGUGCAGUGCCUCUUAGCAGUUUCCCUGUUCCUAACACCAACUUCUGCUACUGCUUCAACAGAUCUCUCUCUCUCCUCCACCCCCCAGUGUUGAAUCGACUCUUUUAUCAAUUUCUCUCCCAAUCCCCCUAGAGCCUAACCAUCUUUUUACCCAGGCAGUACCUCUAUUCUGGUUUUGCAUAUCUACCUACCCUUUCUCUACUUCUAGGUUCUUGUGGCUUUUUCUUCUGCUUCCCAGGUAAUAUUUAUUAGGGUUUCAAAAGAACAGAGUUAGAAAACAGAAAAACACUACAGGCAAAAUAAAAUUGUCACAGCUUGGAGAAAGUGAUGACGGUAAUUCACAAUGCCAUAUCAAAUGGGUUUUGGUGGUUUUUUUUCCAUUAAGAGAAAAGAAGUGAUCUGGGGUAAAUAAAGUGUGUUGCAGCCUGUGUGACUCUUGGGCCGGUCACUCCCUUUGUAGUCUAACCUACUUCACAAUAAUGUUGCGAUGGUAAUGUUGGAAAAUGAGAAAGAACCAUGGAGGCUGCAUUGAGCAUCUCAGUGGGAAGCUGUGCAAGGUAUGUAUGUAAAAUUAAUAAUAGAUUUUUUUUAAAAAAAAAACUUUUGUGUUGGAUUAAAUUUAUUUCUUUUCAUAUUUGUGGGCUGCCUUGUGCAUUGUAUAGUAGUGGCUAGGCAAGAUUUAAAAAAAUCUUAAUAGGUAAGGUAAAGAUAAAGGGGGACCCCUGACAAUUAGGGGUUGCGGCACUCAUCUCGCUUUAUUGGCCAAGGGAGCCGGCGUACAGCUUCCGGGUCAUGUGGCCAGCAUGACUAAGCUGCUUCUGGCUAACCAGAGCAGUGCAUGGAAACGCCGUUUACCUUCCUGCCGGAGCAGUACCUACCUACUUAUCUACUUGCACUUUGACAUGCUUCUGAACUGCUAGGUUGGCAGGAGCAGGGACCGAGCAACGGGAGCUCUGAUCGGCAAGCCCUAGGCUCUGUGGUUUAACCCACAGCGCCACCCGCGUCCAUAACAGGUAGAUAGUGACAAAAUCAAGUCAGUUGUCUUACAUCAGCUUUAAAUGUAUUAAGCAAAUCUACAAGCAAUAGAAUAUAACUGUUUUGUCUUGGCGUUUGCGUAUUACCUCUGUCCACUAUAUCCACUUCUGUAAUCUGCUGCUAACAUGCACAUGCAGAAAAAGCAUUUCUCAGCAUAUCCCACCAUCUGAUCCUGGAAACUUACAAUCCAUUUUCAGGACUGAGCAGAUAAGUGAUUAUGUGUCCAUUCUUGCGUGCCACCAAUCUUGAAUACUUGGAGACUUGUACAGGGCAUGACCCUUGAUGCCCGUACAGGCCUUUUAGAUUUUCCACUGCCACCAAACCUGUUUGACUGAAUUGCAGGUUAAAAAGGCAUUGCAUCUGUAAUUCUUGAGCUUUAAGGAGCAUGUCCUUUCCCUUAAUGAAAUACCCUGCCUGUUCCAUUUGUAAAGAAACCAAAGACUCCUAAGGUUUAUGAUCAAGUUGUAAAGAUUUUAUUUACCCCAUAUUUCCUGCUGGGUUAUUUAUGAGGCAUUUUGUCAGACCUCAUAAAGCUGCCUAGUAAAACAUAUUUUCUUACAACAAAAAUAAAGUCAUUUGUGCAAAACAUCUUGGGACCACAGAGGGCAGACCUGAUGGGAUACACACACGUUCAGACAUCAUGGACAGGGGGUACCCCCACUGAACUUUGUUGAGUCCCAUUAUUUAAUUAUAGUUUUCAAAGACUAAAAUUUAGUAACUAAAUCCCGGUAUGAUGGAUUGGGGGGGGAAUGAUCUGUAAAAUGGAAAAGAAUCAUCUAUUUAACUGGUGCAAAAAUUGGGACUCACGUUACAGAAAACUUUAGUUCAUAUUGGUGUCUAAAAUCUAUGCUAACAUGUCAAAUCUAAUCUAUGUCCUUUUUUCUACUUCUUCUCAAUCUUCAAGAUUUCUUGGUACAUCUACAGUUAUCAAAAGAACCAGAAUAGAAGCCCUCAUAUAUCUGAGGACUGAAAGCUUAACAAUACUUCCCUGGGAGUAAGUUCAUUGAACUUUAGCCUCUGGAUAAACAUACGGUACAUAUAUGACUGAGCUGCUAAUGCAGUAAUCGCCAGACUUGGGCUGCAUACAUAACAUACAUUUUAAGUGCCUUUAAAGCACAUUGCCCCACAAAAAAAUCCUAGGAACUCUAGUUUGUUAAGGGCGCUGUUGAUUGCACCUUUGUGAGGGGUAAACUACAGUUCCCAAGAAUCAGGUAUGUGUGUGCAGGCGCCUUGGAUUUUAAAAAAGUAAAACGCUCUAUUGAUUAUGUUUAGUUGAAAAUAAGUUCUAUUGAUUUCAGUGGGAGUUAUUUUCAAGCUAAGCAUGCUUAACGUUACAGUCCUUGUCCCACUGACUUCAAACUAGUGACUAUUUGUUCUCAGAGAGAGGUUUUUAGGGGGGCAGAGGAGGGAAUGUCCCAUUCUGAUGUCUAACUAAAAGUUGUGAUCUUCUUCUUUCUCUUUAGCCUCUUGAGAGGGCUAGUGUAAAAUUCUCUACCGUAUAUCUGAAUGCUUGCAAAUCUCACUGGCGUGUCACUCUUCAGAACAGCUGGCUCCUCCGUUCCAAAUUUGGCAUCAAUCCUGUGUCAGGAGUAGAAGAAGGGAGCUUCGACUGAGGGUGAUAAGCAAAUCAAAGAAGUCAAGUGU